rnacentral:rRNA from 1 species
UCAGCCACACUGGGAUUGAGACACGGCCCAGACUCGUAUGGGAGGCAGCAGUGCAGAAUAUUGGACAAUGGGCGAAAGCCUGAUCCAGCAAUGCCGCGUGAGUGAUGAAGGCCUUAGGGUUGUAAAGCUCUUUUACCCGGGAAGAUAAUGUCUGUACCGGGAGAAUAAGCGCAGGCUAACUCCGUGUCAGCAGCCCCGGUAAUACGGAGGGGGCUAGCGUUGUUCGGAAUUACUGGGCGUAAAGCAUACGUAGGCGGCUUGGUAAGUUAGAGGUGAAAGCAUGGUGCUCAACUCCAGAACUGCCUUUAAGACUGCAUCGCUUGAAUCGCGGAGAGGUGAGUGGAAUUCCGAGUGUAGAGGUGAAAUUAGUAUAUAUUCGGAAGAACACCAGUGGAGAAGGCGGCUCACUGGACGCGUAUUAACGCUGAGGUACGAAAGCGUGGGGAGCAAACAGGAUUAGAUUCCCUGGUAGUCCACUCCGUAAACGAAGAAGAGUAGCUGUCCGGACAGCUGGUGUCUGGGUGGCGCAGCUAACGCAUUAAGUAUUCAGUCUGGGGAGUGCGGCCGCAAGGUUAAAACUCAAAGAAAUUGACGGGGGCGGGCACAAGCGAUGGAGCAUGCGGUUUAAUUAGAAGCAACGCGCAGAACCUUACCAGCGUUUGACAUGUAUAGUAUGGUUACCAGAGAGGGUUUCUUUCAGUUCGGCGGGCUAGAACACAGGUGCUGCAUGGCUGUCGUCAGCUCGUGUCGUGAGAUGUUGGGGUAAGUCCCGCAACGAGAGAG